CAUGGCAGACAGAUUUCACAGACAUGGAGCAUAAGUUCACACAAAGAAGUCCUGAAGAUGCUGGGGMUGGACAGUGUGAAAGUAAAAACAAACAAAAGAAAGAAAAAAAGCAAAACCCAAAACACCAUGAAUCUCAGUAUAAAUCAGUGAAAUAUGAUUCUUCAGAUAAUGAAUUGUUUCCUCGUGCAUCAUCUUCCUCAGGAUGCCAGACAGAUUCAAGCAAUGAAGAGAUUACCAAGGGAAAAAUUAAGAGAAAGAGAAAAGAC